rnacentral:rRNA from 1 species
UUCGGUGGUCAUAGCGGUUGGGGAACACCCGGUCCCAUUCCGAACCCGGUAGUUAAG